UACGUAGGGUGCGAGCGUUGUCCGGAAUUACUGGGCGUAAAGAGCUCGUAGGUGGUUUGUCGCGUUGUUCGUGAAAACUCACAGCUCAACUGUGGGCGUGCGGGCGAUACGGGCAGACUAGAGUUCGGUAGGGGAGACUGGAAUUCCUGGUGUAGCGGUGAAAUGCGUAGAGAUCAGGAGGAACACCCGUGGCGAAGGCGGCUCUCUGGGUCCGCCCUGACGCUGAGGCGCGAAAGCGUGGGGAGCGAACGGG
rnacentral:rRNA from 1 species